GGAGCCAGCAACUGUUUAAGACAUGAGAAGCCAAGCCUGCUGUACCUUUUUGCCAUUCUGGGGUCACACAUUCACUCACCUCUGCUCUUCUUUGUACAUCACUAGACCCUUCCAUCUUUUAAAUCUCUUGGCUUCUCUCCAUUUCCACUGCCAUGACCCUAGUGUAAAGGACUUUUCUUUUUUUUUUAUUGCCUGGGGAAACUGAGGCAGCCUCCUGAAUUUUCUCCCGAAUCCCACCCUUGCCCAUUUCCAGUCUGUGUCUCUCACUACAGCCAGAGGGAUUUUUAGAAAUGAACAGUUUAUUCAACAGAUUUCACUGAUCCUAGGAAAGACGUCAAAAUCAUAAGCACGGUGUGGAACUGGAUUACCACUCCCCCAUAUUCGGUGCCCUGUAUCGAAGUGCCCUGCUCGGUUGGAGGAUUAUACAGCACGGCCCAUGUUAUCCUCAGGCAUGGCAGAGGGGCUGCUGAACAGUGAAAACAGAUGUGAGCACACGCGUUAAGAACCAGGCUGAGGACCGGUGCUGGGUCUGAUGGGCUACUACGAGACAGGAAGACCAGCAACCCCCUGUCUUGGUCCUUCCAGGAGAAGCCUGUGUGGUCACUGACCUCUGUCGCCCUCCCCUCCCUGACAGGAACAGACAAACUUCCCCCUCUGGCCUGAGACACAGUAACUCCAAGCCACCUGUAGCAGCCUGGACCCCACCACAGAACUCUGCAGGUAGCCCUUCCAGAAAGCGCAGGCUGCCCAGAAUUCUUACAGCAGCGACCAUGUUCUUUUUAAAACUGACAGAACUUCCCAAGUUCGGAAGCUCCUAGGGGAUUAGCUGGUCACACAUCAAACCCAUCCGGGGAGCUUUGAAAAAUGAAGGUGCACGCGAACAGACAUUUCACCAAAGAAGAUACGCGGCUGGCAGGUAAACACACGUAACAAUAAUGGUCGACAACAUGGGCCAUCAGUGAGAUGCACCCCAAAACCACAGUGAGCUCUCGCCCCGUAGCUAUUAGAGUGGCUGAUGUAAAAAAAAAAAAAAAAAAAAAUAGUAGCAGCAUGAGACGCUGGCAGGGAUGCGGAGAAACCGGACCGCUGCUGCCUCGC